rnacentral:tRNA from 1 species
GGAGGCAUAGCUCAGUGGAAGAGUGCGUGCUUGGUAUGCACGAGGUCCUGGGUUCAAUCCCCGCUGCCUCCA